rnacentral:misc_RNA from 1 species
CCCUUUCCGGUGUCUUCGAGACCGCGUCUUCAACUCGCCGCAGGACCCCACGAAAGUGGCACAGAAAUGCGGACGAGGCGAAGUAACCCUUGACUAUGAUACCUUUUGUUCCAUCGGCGGGCUCGCGCCCGUCGCUGGGCCCAGUCAAAACCCCUUUGCAGUAGCAGUAUACCUCUGAUCGUGGGCACUUGAAUCUUUAG